rnacentral:rRNA from 1 species
GAUGAACGCUGGCGGCGUGCCUAAUACAUGCAAGUCGAGCGAACAGACGAGGAGCUUGCUCCUCUGACGUUAGCGGCGGACGGGUGAGUAACACGUGGAUAACCUACCUAUAAGACUGGGAUAACUUCGGGAAACCGGAGCUAAUACCGGAUAAUAUAUUGAACCGCAUGGUUCAAUAGUGAAAGACGGUUUUGCUGUCACUUAUAGAUGGAUCCGCGCCGCAUUAGCUAGUUGGUAAGGUAACGGCUUACCAAGGCAACGAUGCGUAGCCGACCUGAGAGGAUGAUCGGCCACACUGGAACUGAGACACGGUCCAGACUCCUACGGGAGGCAGCAGUAGGGAAUCUUCCGCAAUGGGCGAAAGCUUGACGGAGCAACGCCGCGUGAGUGAUGAAGGUCUUCGGAUCGUAAAGCUCUGUUAUUAGGGAAGAACAAAUGUGUAAGUAACUAUGCACGUCUUGACGGUACCUAAUCAGAAAGCCACGGCUAACUACGUG